GAGCCCUUUUAAGAGGCUAACACAGAAGGGUAAAGGAACGCUCCAUAAAACCAGAGAGGAAAACUACACCUCCUCGUUGGAUCCUGUCUGGAGUCACAGAU